GAUGUAUAGUGAUAAAAAUGCCAAACCUGAUACAUUGCUGAGAAACUUCAUAUGGAUCUGGCUCCUGAGAU